ACUGCUCAGUAACACGUGGACAACCUGCCCUUUAGGUUGGGUAUAAACCCGGGAAACUGGGUAUAAUACCCGAUAGGUCUCGAUUGCUGGAAUGCAUCGAGAUUUGAAGCUCCGGCGCCUAAGGAUGGGUCUGCGGCCUAUCAGGUAGUAGUGGGUGUAGCGUACCUACUAGCCUACGACGGGUACGGGUUGUGAGAGCAAGAGCCCGGAGAUGGAUUCUGAGACACGAAUCCAGGCCCUACGGGGUGCAGCAGGCGCGAAAACUUUACAAUGCUGGCAACAGCGAUAAGGGAACCUCGAGUGCCAGGUCACAAAUCUGGCUGUCGAGAUGCCUAAAAAGCAUUUCAUAGCAAGGGCCGGGCAAGACCGGUGCCAGCCGCCGCGGUAACACCGGCGGCUCGAGUGGUAACCGUUAUUAUUGGGUCUAAAGGGUCUGUAGCCGGCCGGAUAAGUCUCUUGAGAAAUCUGGCAGCUUAACUGUCAGGCUUUCAGGAGAUACUGUCUGGCUCGAGGCCGGGAGAGGUGAGAGGUACUUCAGGGGUAGGGGUGAAAUCUUGUAAUCCUUGAAGGACCACCAGUGGCGAAGGCGUCUCACCAGAACGGACCUGACGGCAAGGGACGAAAGCUAGGGGCACGAACCGGAUUAGAUACCCGGGUAGUCCUAGCCGUAAACGAUACUCGCUAGGUGUCGGCCACGGUGCGACCGUUGUCGGUGCCGUAGGGAAGCCGUGAAGCGAGCCACCUGGGAAGUACGGCCGCAAGGCUGAAACUUAAAGGAAUUGGCGGGGGAGCAC
rnacentral:rRNA from 1 species